rnacentral:lncRNA from 1 species
GUUAGAUAUAGUUUGUUUAGCACAUCAUUCAAGCUCUCUGUUUUUUUAUCGAUCCUUUGUCCAGAUAUUCCAUCACUUAAUCAGAGUACAAUUUUGACGACUUCACCUAUUGAAGAGACAUCUAUGUCUCCCCUUACGUUUCCCACUGAGAUGCCUGAGUCAAAAGAGGAAACCAGUGAGACAACAUCAAUGUCACCAGCAGUAACCUUUUUUGGGAAAAAUCUGAGCAACGAUAAUUGGAAAAAUGUCUUUGCAUCAACUACAUCCCCACCCCAUCAGAGUGUGGAAUCUACCACGUGGAAUGGGAAUACUGCUUCUCCAGGAAAGCCCGAAAUGUCUGACAUUGACAAAGGAAUUUCCUUCAAGAGAAAAGAAGAUAGGAUAUUCAACAAUAAGCAGGUCCAGCGAUGCCAAGGGAAAGCAGCCUCUGUAAGGUUACCAGCUCUUGAGGUUUUCCUAGAGCCACGUAGUUAAUACGCUAUAUAUUUUUUGAAGUUUUGAAGUCAUAACAGUGGUGACUUAAACUAGAUAAGAUUCAUUUUUAUGCUCUGUAACAGAGUAUAAUACCCCAAGAGCUGAUAUGGUAGUUCCAUAAUGCUCUGCCAUCACCAA